UCUCUGGUGGUCCACUGGUUAGGAUACUGUGCUUCCAAUGCAACAGGCAUGGGUUCAAGCCAUUUUCAGGGAA
rnacentral:tRNA from 1 species